rnacentral:lncRNA from 1 species
AUGCAAACGAGGGAGGACAGGCUUCAGUCGUUUGGUGGCCACAUGAGUGGCGAUGUUGUUAUCUCGACUGUGGUUGGCCAGCACUUGGAUAGUGAAGAUGGCAAAGCCUUCUCUCCAGUUCAGCAGAGGCUUAUCAGUCCUUUAUGUCAUGGAAAACUACUCUCUUCUGUAAUAAAAUCAUCCUGUCCUGUUUGGAAUGGCGCUCUUUGUAGACAGUUCUCUUGGUCAGCUGAAGUUACCAGCGGGAGCUGUGUUCCUCUCUGCUUUGGGAGCCCAGUGGAACCGACUGAAAACGAAUAUUGUAACCUGAUUUUCCCAAGACUCUACCAGCCAAAUGAGAUCCAGAUAAGUCUCAAAUCUCAUCGGACCCUAUUUAUUUCUGGGGAGUCUCAAGACAGAGUCUGUCACAUGCCCACAAACAAUUCUCUCCUGGUCUUCUCUUCUGAUUUCUGCUUGGAUGGCUACCAUUUGAGAGUAGUUUUAUGCCCAGUAUUCAGUGUGAAUAACAUCCCCUCAGAGAGUUUGUAAUUAGCACUGGAACCAAGUGUGGGUGUCUGCAGAGAUGAUGUGCUGGGGUUCUGUGGAUGUGACAGAAGGAGAACCCUCAAGGACAUGACCUCCUCGGGAGACUGCGGGAGCGUCAUUUAUCCACCACUGAACCUUGGAAAUCCCCCGGGCUGUGGAGCCCGGGACCGCUGUGCCUUCCCCAAGAAGUUCAAUGGCAACACUGCUGGCAUGCUAUGUAAACCUCAGGCACACAUUUUCAGACAACCGUUAGCAGGCCACAGAAGUUCCCCAAGACACUUGGUAAACCUUCGUCAAAUCUGUUCUGACUUUGUGUGGGCGGCUGGGUUUCAUCAAGAGGGUGCCACAAGCAGCAACCCCAGUAGGGCUGAAUCUGGACAGAGCAGGGCCUCCGCUCUUGCCUUCCUGCCUCCCGUGCUCUAUAAUCCCCCUUUCUGAAAUGCAAACCCUGACCCAAUGCUCACGUAUUACACAUGCUCUUUUAGGUGCAAGCUUUGCUGGAAUGAGAUAUUAUGAGAUCGUUUCUCUAAAUUUAUUCUCAGAUUCUGCAGAAUUAUCUGUGAGGAAAUCGGCUGUGGGCUCUGUUGGUUCUUAAAACACACUUAAGAGACGCUAUCCACUUGGCAUUGCUAUUGGGUUCAGUCACUUUUCCUAGUGAUUUCUGCAGUUAGUACUGAAAGGCAGAUUGUAGUUUUAAAACUUCAUGGUGGGGCGCCUGGGUGGUGCAGUCGGUUAAGCGUCUGACUUCAGCAGCUCAGGUCACGAUCUCGAGGUCCGUGAGUUCGAGCCCCGCGUCGGGCUCUGGCUGAUGGCUCAGAGCCUGGAGCCUGUUUCCGAUUCUGUGUCUCCCCUCUCUCUCUGCCCCUCCCCCGUUCAUGCUCUGUCUCUCUCUGUCUCAAAAAUAAAUAAACGUUAAAAAAUAAUAAUAAAUAAAAA